UUGGCUCAGGAUGAACGCUGGCGGCAUGCCUAAGACAUGCAAGUCGAACGAAGUGGCCUACUGAAAGCUGCGUGCUUGCACAAAGCUGGACGUAGAUCACCACUUAGUGGCAGACGGGUGAGUAACACGUGGGUAAUCUACCUCAGAGACUGGGAUAACUACUGGAAACGGUGGCUAAUACCGGAUGAUUCAUAUUUACAUAAGUAGAUAUGCUAAAAGGAGCUUCGGCUUCACUUUGAGAUGAGCUUGCGGUGUAUUAGCUAGUUGGUAGGGUAGUGGCCUACCAAGGCAACGAUGCAUAUCCGAGCUGAGAGGCUGAUCGGGCACAUUGGAACUGAGAUACGGUCCAAACUCCUACGGGAGGCAGCAGUGGGGAAUA
rnacentral:rRNA from 1 species